rnacentral:rRNA from 1 species
AUUGAACGCUGGCGGCAGGCCUAACACAUGCAAGUCGAGCGAGCGGCGGACGGGUGUGUAAUAUCUGGGAAAAUGCCUGAGGGAGGGGGAUAUCUACUGGAAACGGUAGCUAAUACCGCAUACCAUCAGAUGUGCCCCGAUGGGGUUAGCUAGUGGGGGGGGGAAAGGCUCACCUAGGCGACGAUCCCUCGCUGGUCUGAGAGGAGGACCAGCCACACUGGAACUGAGACACGGUCCAGACUCCUACGGGAGGCAGCAGUGGGGAAUAUUGCACAAUGGGCGCAAGCCUGAUGCAGCCAUGCCGCGUGUGUGAAGAAGGCCUUCGGGUUGUAAAGCACUUUCAGCGGGGAGGCGUUACCCGCAGAAGAAGCACCGGCUAACUCCGUGCCAGCAGCCGCGGUAAUAC